UACGUAGGGUGCAAGCGUUGUCCGGAAUUAUUGGGCGUAAGAGCUCGUAGGCGGUUUGUUGCGUCGGCUGUGAAAUCCCGAGGCUCAACCUCGGGUCUGCAGUCGAUACGAGCAAACUAGAGUGUUGCAGGGGAGACUGGAAUUCCUGGUGUAGCGGUGAAAUGCGCAGAUAUCAGGAGGAACACCGGUGGCGAAGGCGGGUCUCUGGGCAACAACUGACGCUGGAGGAGCGAAAGCGUCGGGGAGCGAACGGG
rnacentral:rRNA from 1 species